UACAGGGGGGGCAAGCGUUGUUCGGAAUUACUGGGCGUAAAGGGCUCGCAGGUGGCCAACUAAGUCAGACGUGAAAUCCCUCAGCUUAACUGGGGAACUGCGUCUGAUACUGGAUGGCUUGAGUUUGGGAGAGGGAUGCGGAAUUCCAGGUGUAGCGGUGAAAUGCGUAGAUAUCUGGAGGAACACCGGUGGCGAAGGCGGCAUCCUGGACCAACACUGACACUGAGGAGCGAAAGCCAGGGGAGCAAACGGG
rnacentral:rRNA from 1 species